rnacentral:lncRNA from 1 species
CUGCUGUUUCCAUUAUACCUCAGUGCUUUUACGAAGAAAACUUCAAAGACUUUUCGCUUACAAGCCCUACUCUGCGUCUGAUGACAUACACAAAGACCCCAAUACCUGUGCUUGGCUGUCUAGCUUUGAAUGUGACUUGCAAUACCAAAUCUGCCAAUGCAAAUCUUUACGUUGUCCCAGGGGGAACACCAAUUUUAGGCAUGGAUCUUUUUACUGCUUUGAGAUUGGACAUUUCAAGUGACUGUAUGCAUAGCUCUACACCUCCCACAAUUCCAGUGAAGCACACUACUGCUGUUGCAGAGUUGGGAGAGGUUGUCAACUUUGUACACAAGGUAAAGGUGCGUUCAGAGAUCACUCCUGUCCAACAAAAGCUACGCCGCUUACCAUUCUCCAUCCGUGAUGAAGGCACUGCAGAGCUGCUGCGGUUGGAAAAGGAAGGCAUCAUCGAGAGAGCAGAUUCAUCAUUCAAUUACACAAUUGAGUACAAACGUGGAUGUGACAAUGUAAUUGCUGACUGUCUUUCACGUCUACCACUGCCUGACACUGACUUCAAUGUGGAACCUGACAUGGAGACGGUUGCAUUAGUGUCAGAUGAUUUUGCUGCCAUUACCAUGCAAGAGCUGACUGCUGCAUGUAAAGACUGUCUUAUUCUACAACAGGUGAGGGCGUACAUCAGGACAGGUUGGCCGUGCACUGCUAAAGGUCUUGAUCCAGCUCUUGUACCAUACUUCAGAAUUCACACUGAGCUUGCAGAACAUGAUGAAUGUGUUAUCCGUGGCACUCACCGUGUUGUAGUUCCAAGAGAAAUUCAGCCCAAACUGAUCCAGAUUGCCCAUGAUACACAUCAGGGAAUUGUACGUACAAAGCAAAGACUUAGGGAGCUCUAUUGGUGGCCAGGUAUGGAUGCAGCUGUAGAGACCGCCAUCAAGUCCUGCGUCACAUGCACUCAACAUGACAAGACUGCCAUCGUCAGAGCUUCCCCACUGAAUCCGGUGAGUCUUCCCAAUGCAGCAUGGGAAAAGCUUGCAGUGGACUUUGUUGGUCCUUACCUCCGUGCGCCUCCGGAUUGCCGUUAUGCUAUUACUCUUGUGGAUUAUUACAGCAAGUGGCCAGAGGUGGCAUUCACCUCUGGGGUGACUUCAGCUACUGCCAUUAAGUUUCUUUCUACUGUCUUCAGCCGUGAAGGAAACCCGAUUGAACUGGUGACAGACAACGGGUCAGCUUUUGUCUCUGCUGAAUUUGAAGCAUUCCUUGCCAGCCGAGAUAUUAAACAUUGCCGUAGUUCCAUCUAUUAUCCACGAUGCAAUGGCGAAGUUGAAAGAUGGAACAGAUGCCUAAAAGACUGCCUCCAGACAGCAGACAUUGAGGGUAAACCUUGGAAGCAGUUUACUACUGAUUUCUUGUUUUCUUAUCGUGCUACUCCCC